rnacentral:rRNA from 1 species
AUGACCAAGGAGCAAAAUGAAGCCAUAGUGAAGGCCCAAGUGGAGGCCCAUUUGGCACCAAAACCGGCACCACCGCCAAGGGAGAAAGUGCCCGAGGAGAAGAUUGACCACUUUAUUCGUAUGGCACAACCACCAGCUCCCAAGCCUAUUGACUUAGACUAUGAGCGCCAAAUCAGGAAGGCACAUGGAGCACGACAACAAAAGGGGUUGAGCUCGAGCCAAGCAGCUGGCGAAAAAUGCGGGAAAACCGUUCCCCAACUAGGAGAACAAGCGGCACAAUCGAUCCCCCCCACUUGUUGUACCAACACAUGA